AACUACAGCUGCUGCCAUCACAACAAAGCGAGUGGUGUUCAGGUCUGUUCAGCAAACAUUCACAACCGACUUGUUGGAUACAUCAUCUGCUGCUUUUAGAGGAAGAGCUGCUAACAUAAAGAAUCAGCUUGAACCUCUAUACAGAAACAAAUUCUCAUCCUUCUCUUCCUUGGAAGUGGUGCGAUUCAGUAAUGGAUCAAUCUUCAAUACUUGUGACCUCCGCUUCACUGGCACAUCUGUUCCUAACAACACUGCGAUUGCAGACGUUUUGCUAAAGGCAGCUUCAUCAGUCACCGGCUUCGACAUUGAGGGGAGCUCCAUCACCGUGGAUGGCAUAGCUUCAAGUGGAGUCAGUCAACAGAUCAGUCUCGUCACUGCAUCCUGUCUGGUGCUUGUGUCAUGGCUGCUGUCCAGCCAGCAUUAGCGUCUGCGCUGAGUUCGUUAUGAAUUCCCAUGAGAACAAGAACGACAUCUCUGGAAUGAAAAAGGACUUUAUCUUCAGCAAGAAUCCCAGAUUGUUGAUUUUCUUUAUGCGUUGUGGCUUUGGAUGAACUCAACACCAAGUUCAACUUUGCACUGAUCGGACACAUCAAUGACAGUGGAUUAGGUUUGUCUGUGGAACUGAACACGCUAGUGUUUGGGGACGUCCAGGAUUUUGGACAGAAUGACACAGCUGCCUUUAAGUUUCUGUUCUAUUGAAACAUAACAACACUAUCUAUGAAACACUGGAGAGUUCAAAAAAUAUCUGUACUGUUGCACUGUUA